GCGCCCUUAGUGUAGUGGAUAUCAUACAAGAUUCCGGUUCUUGUGACGGGGGUUCGACUCCCUCAGGGCGCA
rfam:Enterococcus aquimarinus strain DSM 17690 Scaffold3, whole genome shotgun sequence.